CGGACGGGUGAGUAACGCGUGGAUAACCUGCCUCACACUGGGGGAUAACAGUUAGAAAUGGCUGCUAAUACCGCAUAAGCGCACAGUACCGCAUGGUACGGUGUGAAAAACCCAGGUGGUGUGAGAUGGAUCCGCGUCUGAUUAGCCAGUUGGCGGGGUAACGGCCCACCAAAGCGACGAUCAGUAGCCGACCUGGGAGGGUGACCGGCCACAUUGGGACUGAGACACGGCCCAA
rnacentral:rRNA from 1 species